UACGUAGGGUCCGAGCGUUGUCCGGAAUUAUUGGGCGUAAAGAGCUCGUAGGCGGUCUGUCGCGUCGGUUGUGAAAACCUGGGGCUCAACUCCAGGCCUGCAAUCGAUACGGGCAGACUAGAGUUCGGUAGGGGAGACUGGAAUUCCUGGUGUAGCGGUGAAAUGCGCAGAUAUCAGGAGGAACACCGGUGGCGAAGGCGGGUCUCUGGGCCGAUACUGACGCUGAGGAGCGAAAGCGUGGGGAGCGAACAGG
rnacentral:rRNA from 1 species